AUUGAACGCUGGCGGCAUGCUUUACACAUGCAAGUCGAACGGUAACAGGUUAAGCUGACGAGUGGCGAACGGGUGAGUAAUGCAUCGGAACGUGCCCGAUCGUGGGGGAUAACGCAGCGAAAGCUGCGCUAAUACCGCAUACGAUCUGAGGAUGAAAGCGGGGGACCGUAAGGCCUCGCGCGAUCGGAGCGGCCGAUGUCAGAUUAGGUAGUUGGUGGGGUAAAGGCUCACCAAGCCAACGAUCUGUAGCUGGUGUGAGAGGACGACCAGCCACACUGGGACUGAGACGCGGGCCAGAAUCCUGCGGGAGGCAGCAGUGGGGAAUUUUGGACAAUGGGCGAAAGCCUGAUCCAGCAAUGCAGCGUGCAGGAAGAAGGCCUUCGGGUUGUAAACUGCUUUUGUACGGAGCGAAAAGGUCCCCUCUAAUACAGGGGGCUCAUGACGGUACCGUAAGAAUAAGCACCGGCUAACUACGUGCCAGCCGCCGCGGUAA
rnacentral:rRNA from 1 species